rnacentral:sRNA from 1 species
CGUGCAUUCUUGCAGGCGAGACGAUAGCAUGGGACACUGAGUUGACUGAAAGUUAGCACAGGGUGUGAAGGAAUCAAAUUCUUCUGCAAGACUUGCUUGAUGAAGAUUUAAAUCGUGGUAUAAACUCAUUCUCCUUCUGAGAACGUCAUCUCCAGGGACCAGAGGACAUACAAGACAUCAGUUUAAGCAGACCAAAGCAUCCAUGUGAGACCAAAACCUAAAACUACUAGAGCAAAGCACAAAGAGUCUUCAAGAUAUGAGUGCAGGAACCACAAGCUGCUAACUGUUGCCAGAAACUUGAUGACCUUGGAAAUAUCCCACCUACAGCUGCCCUGAGCUCAGCCAACGCCUGCUGAUAUCAGCUUAUGAAACCAACUUCAGCAGGGCAUUCUUCCAAACCUCACCAAACUCCCAAAUUACAGAAAGCAUAGAUCAAUAAAUGUAUUCCCCUCUA